ACCGCCGUAGCUCAGUGGUAAAGCAUCGGACGUACUAUUAGAAGGCCGCAGGUUCGAUCCCUGCCGGCGGCA
rnacentral:tRNA from 1 species